UUGAACUUGGAGACGAGUGAGUUGUUUACGAAUCUCGACAAGGGAAGGACGAUGGGCACCAACGGAACUGUGAUACCUACCACAAACACAUCUGCAGCCAAACACCGGUGGAAAAUACUCGCAAGAGCUCUGGUUGGUGACCGAUCAAGUGACCCAGAUGACCGGAUAUUCUCAGUACGAAGGUUCCAGUGCUUCGGCCUGUUCCAGUCCAAAGUUGUUGAAGACAGGAGUUCUGAUGCUGACUGGUUCACGUACACAUCUCAUGAUUUUGAAAAACUAAACUUAAUCAUCAGACAACUGCGAGCUGAGAGUACGGUGAAGCUAGAUUCUCUUCUUGGAUUUAACAACACAGGCAAUAUAUGUAUCUGGCCUUCUGAAGAAGUUAUGACACAUCACUGUCUCAAGGAUGUAAACUGGUUUAGGAAUAAAAGUGUUAUAGAACUCGGAGGAGGGAUGACAUGCCUGGCAGGUAUGGCUGUGGCUGCUUGCACUGAAGCGUCUUGUGUUGUGCUCACGGAUGGUAAUGGAGACUCGGUUACAAAUCUAGACUUGAUGAUCAGUGAGAACAAGGACAGCUUUGGUACCACGACCGUGUCUUCCAGGUUACUCCGCUGGGGCCCAGACGAGGCAGCUAAAGAUCUGGAGGACAGAUUCGACUGUGUACUUUGUGCUGACUGUUUUUUCUUUGACGAGGGUCGCAGUGACCUUGUUGGUCUGGUGUAUUCCUUGCUCCGCCCUGGGGGUCAGGCUGUGAUGUUUGCUCCUCACAGGGGACCAACGUUACAGGCAUUUGUUGAUCUUGCCUCGGACAAGUUUGAUAUCACAGUUGCAGAUAAUUACGAUGACAAAAUCUGGCAGUUACAUCAACAGAUGAAACUGAAAGGCCAUGGAGAAUACGACGAGAACCUGCACUACCCAGUGUCUGUAUUACUGAAGAAGACUGGAUCUUCCUGAUGUUGACUGAUGUGCAACCACAGACUUACCUCCCCUGUCUGAAUAACUUACACUUGCCAGUAUCAGUGUGGCUGGAGAAAACUGGAUCAUAUUUCAUGGUCUCGUGUGUAACCACAUACUUACCUCCCCAGUCAUGUGACCUACAAUACUUAGUAUCCGUGUUGCUGGAAAAGACAUCUUCUUAAUACUGACUGAUGUGUACCCUCAGACUUACCUCCCCUGUCAUGUGCAGGAUGUGAUAUCCAAGUAUCUAACUGCCCUUGUCACAGCUGCCUUGUUUACUAAUGCCUUCAUGCCUGUACAUACAAACACCCAGGGCUUCAGGUCCUGUGAGUCAUUGUCCAUCCUUCCAUAAGUCCAUUGUGGUGCCUGGAUGAAAAGACUGUUUCCUUGGAGACCACUGAGUGAUAUUGUUAGUUUGUUCAUGUUUUAAUGUCACACUUAGUAUUGUUAUUCUAUGUGACAACAGUCUGUAAGUAAUUGUGUCUGUGCCAGAUGAUCCAGUGAUUGACGUCAUGAGCACCAGUCUUCACUAUUGACAGGCUUCAACAAAAUCAGCAAGCCUGACCACCUGAUCCUGUUAGUCUUCUCUUACAACAAUUCAUACUGCAGUCUACACUGCAAGGUUGCGUCAGCUAACCUUUGAGCGACCUAUGACCGACCAAUGACCGUCCAAUCAAACGCGAGAUGGCCAAACGGAUUUAACCAAUCAGACAACGACU
rnacentral:misc_RNA from 1 species